rnacentral:rRNA from 1 species
UUACUAGAGCAAAGGAUAGACAGCGCCCGCGGAGCUCGCUCCCGGGGCUACCCUACUCCCGUAGGGUUUAGAGUCGUCGGGCCUCUCGGAGAAGCUCGGUCCUGAACUCCACCCUUGAAUAAACUACCUUUGUUGCUUUGGCGGGCCGCCUCGUGCCAGCGGCUUCGGCUGUUGAGUGCCCGCCAGAGGACCCCAACUCUUGUUUUUAGUGAUGUCUGAGUACUAUAUAAUAGUUAAAACUUUCAACAACGGAUCUCUUGGUUCUGGCAUCGAUGAAGAACGCAGCGAAAUGCGAUAAGUAAUGUGAAUUGCAGAAUUCAGUGAAUCAUCGAAUCUUUGAACGCACAUUGCGCCCUCUGGUAUUCCGGGGGGCAUGCCUGUUCGAGCGUCAUUAUAACCACUCAAGCUCUCGCUUGGUAUUGGGGUUCGCGGUUUCGCGGCCCCUAAAAUCAGUGGCGGUGCCUGUCGGCUCUACGCGUAGUAAUACUCCUCGCGAUUGAGUCCGGUAGGUCUACUUGCCAGCAACCCCUAAUUUUUUUAAGGUUGACCUCGGAUCAGGUAGGGAUACCCGCUGAACUUAAGCAUAUCAAUAAGCGGAGGAAAAGAAACCAACAGGGAUUACCUCAGUAACGGCGAGUGAAGCGGUAACAGCUCAAAUUUGAAAGCUGGCUCUUUUAGGGUCCGCGUUGUAAUUUGUAGAAGAUGCUUCGGGUGUGGCCCCGGUCUAAGUUCCUUGUAA